rnacentral:rRNA from 1 species
CCUACGGGAGGCAGCAGUGGGGAAUAUUGCGCAAUGGGCGAAAGCCUGACGCAGCGACGCCGCGUGAGGGAUGAAGGUCUUCGGAUCGUAAACCUCUGUCAGCAGGGAAGAACGGUCACUGUGCUAAUCAGCAGUGAAUUGACGGUACCAGCAACGGACGCACCGGCUAACUCCGUGCCAGCAGCCGCGGUAAUACGGAGGGUGCGAGCGUUAAUCGGAUUUACUGGGCGUAAGGCGCUCGUAGGCGGUAUGUCAAGUCAAGGGUGAAAUCCCCGCGCUCAACGUGGGAACUGCCUUUGAAACUGGCAAACUUGAGUAUUUGAGAGGAUAGCGGAAUUCCAGGUGUAGGAGUGAAAUCCGUAGAUAUCUGGAGGAACAUCAGUGGCGAAGGCGACUAUCUGGCACAUAACUGACGCUGAGGAGCGAAAGCGUGGGUAGCAAACAGGAUUAGAUACCCUAGUAGUC